UCACAAACAAUUCCAGAUCAAGGUUCCAAGAUACUGGACUCAACCCAGAUUACCAUUACUGUCCGAACAACUGUGGCAGAAAAUACAAAUAUAAGAGCGGAUUAUCACUACAUUUGAAAUACGAAUGUGGCAAAGAACGUCAAUUCCAGUGUGAUCUAUGUCGAAAGAAAUUUGUGCACAGGGCUCAUCUACAAAGUCACCUCGUAAUCGUGCAUAAACUUAUAUUGUAGUUGCGAUUUCGUUUUUGCUGAAUGGGUUCCAGAGUGUGAGAACGACAGAGUUCUCAAUGUUGAGAGCACGAAUUGCAAUGAUGAAAAAGCUUCCAAGCCCAAGUUGUGGUGUCCCAAUCAUUGUGGUAAAAGGUAUAAACACCAGAGUAUGUUGCAAGCGCAUUUAAGAUUCGAAUGUGGUAUCGAGCCUCAGUUCAGCUGUGAUAUAUGUGGUCGGAAAUUUUCUCGAAAGAGUCAUUUAGUUAAUCAUUCCAGAUUCUGUCCAAUACAUUAGUUUGAAUUUUUUAAUUUACACCUAUGAUUUAUUUUAAUGAAACAAAAAGUUUUAUUUACCUUUCUCAGUUGAAAUGUAUUUUUAUUUAUUGAAUAAAAUGUGUGGUCUCUUU